GGUGCUUUUGUAAUUUCUGAUUUUUUUUUUUUUUUUUUUUUUUUGGGAGGAGUGCAACUUCCUGUAAUUCCAGGUUGUGUCGUGUACAACAUUUUUUCAGCAGACUCAUCAUGUCACAGAAGUGAUCUGCCCUGCGUCAAAGAUGAUGUCUGAGAUUGAGGCUUCAGUUGACAAAGAGGCUAACGGGUGAUCCCCUCCGAGGCAGACUCAUUUCUGGUCCUUUGUGGAUUCACACCACCAAUCAUCCAAAAGAUAAGCUGGCGCCACAGCCUGGAGAUGGGAGUGGGGGCCUCCUUCUGCACCCGACUGCAAUUUGCAUCCCCAGAUAUGUGCAAGAUAAGUCAAGGGCUGCAACCCACAGAGGGGAUGGAAAAGAGGUGCCAGGUCGGGAAUCCCCAGGAGAGGUUUUUGAGCCCGUUUUGGAGAUGGGGAUGUCCAAGAAGCGUCUCCUUAGGCCACCUAAAGGGAAAGUGUCUAUUUUGAUCUCAGUGCUGAGGUGCGCAGGGCAGAGCAGUUCCGGUGUGUGUCCUGUCACUUGUCUCUGGUGCAUUCUGUGUUCAUUGGGACUCUCGGUCCUUGCAGGCAUUCUUGUUGUCAAAAGCUCUCAUUCCCUGUCAUGUCCCCUGGUUUGUCACAUCCUGUCCUGUGUCACGGGUGUCUGCACAUUUAUCCUGGUGCUGCUCUGCCCUGCUGCAUAGCCUGUAAUAGCACAAGUCCUGGGGACUUGAAAUUUGUAUUGGGAGAUUGCCAUAACAUUUUUGGUGCUGUUAAGUUGUCCUGCAGCCGUUUGACACUAGUUCUAACUUCCUUUCAGAUGCAGACAGUUCAAAUCGGUGGCAGAGGGCACCAGCCCUGGGUGAUGAUCUUCCCAUGAGCAGGAGGUCCAGACAGAUAGCAGCAGUCAAGGCCCAGGGUGCCAGGGAAUCCACUUGGAGUAUGCCUAGCAGCUGUCACCAACCGGCUGAUGGCCCGGGUUUCCUGUGCUUGUGAACCCUCUGGAAGCAUUACAGGACUCUGUGAUGAAGCCUUGAAAUUUUGUAUUUCAAGAUGGCAUCGGGGUAGCCUUUGGCAGUGGCCAAGGAGGCAGACCCUACAAUGACGGUGGCAGCCUCUGAGCAUGGCCAAAGUGUGCAGCCCGAGCAACUGGGCAUUCUUAGGAGAAUGCUGAGCAAGGGAACACAGCCCCGUGACCACAGGACCUUCCCAGCAGGCGAGGCAGCCUUCUCAACCCCAGAUGCUGGAGAGAUAAGUCAAGGGCUAAGGCCCACAGAGGGGAAUCAGCUUUGUGGGCGGGGAUGUGCAAGAAGUGCCCCUCUAGGCCACUUAAAGGGAAAGUGUCUGUUUAGAUCACAGUGCUGAGGUGCACAGGGCAGAGCAGUUCCGGUGUGUGUCCCGUCACUUGUCUCUGGUGCGUUCUGUGUUCUUUGGGUCUCUCGGUCCUUGCAGACAUUGUUCUCAUCUAAAGCUCUCUCUCCCUCUCCUGUCCCCUGGUUUGUCACGUCCUGUGUGUUGUCACGGGUGUGUGCCCACAUUUGUCCCACAACUGCUCUGCCCUGGUGCAUAGCUUGUAACAGCACAAGUUCUGGGGACUUGAAAUUUGUAUUGGGAGAUUGCCAUAACAUUUUUGGUGCUGUUAAGUUGUCCUGCAGCCGUUUGACACUAGUUCUAACUUCCUUUCAGAUGCAGACAGUUCAAAUCGGUGGCAGAGGGCACCAGCCCUGGGUGAUGAUCUUCCCAUGAGCAGGAGGUCCAGACAGAUAGCAGCAGUCAAGGCCCAGGGUGCCAGGGAAUCCACUUGGAGUAUGCCUAGCAGCUGUCACCAACCGGCUGAUGGCCCGGGUUUCCUGUGCUUGUGAACCCUCUGGAAGCAUUACAGGACUCUGUGAUGAAGCCUUGAAAUUUUGUAUUUCAAGAUGGCAUCGGGGUAGCCUUUGGCAGUGGCCAAGGAGGCAGACCCUACAAUGACGGUGGCAGCCUCUGAGCAUGGCCAAAGUGUGCAGCCCGAGCAACUGGGCAUUCUUAGGAGAAUGCUGAGCAAGGGAACACAGCCCCGUGACCACAGGACCUUCCCAGCAGGCGAGGCAGCCUUCUCAACCCCAGAUGCUGGAGAGAUAAGUCAAGGGCUAAGGCCCACAGAGGGGAAUCAGCUUUGUGGGCGGGGAUGUGCAAGAAGUGCCCCUCUAGGCCACUUAAAGGGAAAGUGUCUGUUUAGAUCACAGUGCUGAGGUGCACAGGGCAGAGCAGUUCCGGUGUGUGUCCCGUCACUUGUCUCUGGUGCGUUCUGUGUUCUUUGGGUCUCUCGGUCCUUGCAGACGUUGUUCUCAUCUAAAGCUCUCUCUCCCUCUCCUGUCCCCUGGUUUGUCACGUCCUGUGUGUUGUCACGGGUGUGUGCCCACAUUUGUCCCACAACUGCUCUGCCCUGGUGCAUAGCUUGUAACAGCACAAGUUCUGGGGACUUGAAAUUUGUAUUGGGAGAUUGCCAUAACAUUUUUGGUGCUGUUAAGUUGUCCUGCAGCCGUUUGACACUAGUUCUAACUUCCUUUCAGAUGCAGACAGUUCAAAUCGGUGGCAGAGGGCACCAGCCCUGGGUGAUGAUCUUCCCAUGAGCAGGAGGUCCAGACAGAUAGCAGCAGUCAAGGCCCAGGGUGCCAGGGAAUCCACUUGGAGUAUGCCUAGCAGCUGUCACCAACCGGCUGAUGGCCCGGGUUUCCUGUGCUUGUGAACCCUCUGGAAGCAUUACAGGACUCUGUGAUGAAGCCUUGAAAUUUUGUAUUUCAAGAUGGCAUCGGGGUAGCCUUUGGCAGUGGCCAAGGAGGCAGACCCUACAAUGACGGUGGCAGCCUCUGAGCAUGGCCAAAGUGUGCAGCCCGAGCAACUGGGCAUUCUUAGGAGAAUGCUGAGCAAGGGAACACAGCCCCGUGACCACAGGACCUUCCCAGCAGGCGAGGCAGCCUUCUCAACCCCAGAUGCUGGAGAGAUAAGUCAAGGGCUAAGGCCCACAGAGGGGAAUCAGCUUUGUGGGCGGGGAUGUGCAAGAAGUGCCCCUCUAGGCCACUUAAAGGGAAAGUGUCUGUUUAGAUCACAGUGCUGAGGUGCACAGGGCAGAGCAGUUCCGGUGUGUGUCCCGUCACUUGUCUCUGGUGCGUUCUGUGUUCUUUGGGUCUCUCGGUCCUUGCAGACGUUGUUCUCAUCUAAAGCUCUCUCUCCCUCUCCUGUCCCCUGGUUUGUCACGUCCUGUGUGUUGUCACGGGUGUGUGCCCACAUUUGUCCCACAACUGCUCUGCCCUGGUGCAUAGCUUGUAACAGCACAAGUUCUGGGGACUUGAAAUUUGUAUUGGGAGAUUGCCAUAACAUUUUUGGUGCUGUUAAGUUGUCCUGCAGCCGUUUGACACUAGUUCUAACUUCCUUUCAGAUGCAGACAGUUCAAAUCGGUGGCAGAGGGCACCAGCCCUGGGUGAUGAUCUUCCCAUGAGCAGGAGGUCCAGACAGAUAGCAGCAGUCAAGGCCCAGGGUGCCAGGGAAUCCACUUGGAGUAUGCCUAGCAGCUGUCACCAACCGGCUGAUGGCCCGGGUUUCCUGUGCUUGUGAACCCUCUGGAAGCAUUACAGGACUCUGUGAUGAAGCCUUGAAAUUUUGUAUUUCAAGAUGGCAUCGGGGUAGCCUUUGGCAGUGGCCAAGGAGGCAGACCCUACAAUGACGGUGGCAGCCUCUGAGCAUGGCCAAAGUGUGCAGCCCGAGCAACUGGGCAUUCUUAGGAGAAUGCUGAGCAAGGGAACACAGCCCCGUGACCACAGGACCUUCCCAGCAGGCGAGGCAGCCUUCUCAACCCCAGAUGCUGGAGAGAUAAGUCAAGGGCUAAGGCCCACAGAGGGGAAUCAGCUUUGUGGGCGGGGAUGUGCAAGAAGUGCCCCUCUAGGCCACUUAAAGGGAAAGUGUCUGUUUAGAUCACAGUGCUGAGGUGCACAGGGCAGAGCAGUUCCGGUGUGUGUCCCGUCACUUGUCUCUGGUGCGUUCUGUGUUCUUUGGGUCUCUCGGUCCUUGCAGACGUUGUUCUCAUCUAAAGCUCUCUCUCCCUCUCCUGUCCCCUGGUUUGUCACGUCCUGUGUGUUGUCACGGGUGUGUGCCCACAUUUGUCCCACAACUGCUCUGCCCUGGUGCAUAGCUUGUAACAGCACAAGUUCUGGGGACUUGAAAUUUGUAUUGGGAGAUUGCCAUAACAUUUUUGGUGCUGUUAAGUUGUCCUGCAGCCGUUUGACACUAGUUCUAACUUCCUUUCAGAUGCAGACAGUUCAAAUCGGUGGCAGAGGGCACCAGCCCUGGGUGAUGAUCUUCCCAUGAGCAGGAGGUCCAGACAGAUAGCAGCAGUCAAGGCCCAGGGUGCCAGGGAAUCCACUUGGAGUAUGCCUAGCAGCUGUCACCAACCGGCUGAUGGCCCGGGUUUCCUGUGCUUGUGAACCCUCUGGAAGCAUUACAGGACUCUGUGAUGAAGCCUUGAAAUUUUGUAUUUCAAGAUGGCAUCGGGGAAGCCUUUGGCAGUGGCCAAGGAGGCAGACCCUACAAUGACGGUGGCAGCCUCUGAGCAUGGCCAAAGUGUGCAGCCCGAGCAACUGGGCAUUCUUAGGAGAAUGCUGAGCAAGGGAACACAGCCCCGUGACCACAGGACCUUCCCAGCAGGCGAGGCAGCCUUCUCAACCCCAGAUGCUGGAGAGAUAAGUCAAGGGCUAAGGCCCACAGAGGGGAAUCAGCUUUGUGGGCGGGGAUGUGCAAGAAGUGCCCCUCUAGGCCACUUAAAGGGAAAGUGUCUGUUUAGAUCACAGUGCUGAGGUGCACAGGGCAGAGCAGUUCCGGUGUGUGUCCCGUCACUUGUCUCUGGUGCGUUCUGUGUUCUUUGGGUCUCUCGGUCCUUGCAGACGUUGUUCUCAUCUAAAGCUCUCUCUCCCUCUCCUGUCCCCUGGUUUGUCACGUCCUGUGUGUUGUCACGGGUGUGUGCCCACAUUUGUCCCACAACUGCUCUGCCCUGGUGCAUAGCUUGUAACAGCACAAGUUCUGGGGACUUGAAAUUUGUAUUGGGAGAUUGCCAUAACAUUUUUGGUGCUGUUAAGUUGUCCUGCAGCCGUUUGACACUAGUUCUAACUUCCUUUCAGAUGCAGACAGUUCAAAUCGGUGGCAGAGGGCACCAGCCCUGGGUGAUGAUCUUCCCAUGAGCAGGAGGUCCAGACAGAUAGCAGCAGUCAAGGCCCAGGGUGCCAGGGAAUCCACUUGGAGUAUGCCUAGCAGCUGUCACCAACCGGCUGAUGGCCCGGGUUUCCUGUGCUUGUGAACCCUCUGGAAGCAUUACAGGACUCUGUGAUGAAGCCUUGAAAUUUUGUAUUUCAAGAUGGCAUCGGGGUAGCCUUUGGCAGUGGCCAAGGAGGCAGACCCUACAAUGACGGUGGCAGCCUCUGAGCAUGGCCAAAGUGUGCAGCCCGAGCAACUGGGCAUUCUUAGGAGAAUGCUGAGCAAGGGAACACAGCCCCGUGACCACAGGACCUUCCCAGCAGGCGAGGCAGCCUUCUCAACCCCAGAUGCUGGAGAGAUAAGUCAAGGGCUAAGGCCCACAGAGGGGAAUCAGCUUUGUGGGCGGGGAUGUGCAAGAAGUGCCCCUCUAGGCCACUUAAAGGGAAAGUGUCUGUUUAGAUCACAGUGCUGAGGUGCACAGGGCAGAGCAGUUCCGGUGUGUGUCCCGUCACUUGUCUCUGGUGCGUUCUGUGUUCUUUGGGUCUCUCGGUCCUUGCAGACGUUGUUCUCAUCUAAAGCUCUCUCUCCCUCUCCUGUCCCCUGGUUUGUCACGUCCUGUCUGUUGUCACGGGUGUGUGCCCACAUUUGUCCCACAACUGCUCUGCCCUGGUGCAUAGCCUGUAACAGCACAAGUUCUGGGGACUUGAAAUUUGUAUUGGGAGAUUGCCAUAACAUUUUUGGUGCUGUUAAGUUGUCCUGCAGCCGUUUGACACUAGUUCUAACUUCCUUUCAGAUGCAGACAGUUCAAAUCGGUGGCAGAGGGCACCAGCCCUGGGUGAUGAUCUUCCCAUGAGCAGGAGGUCCAGACAGAUAGCAGCAGUCAAGGCCCAGGGUGCCAGGGAAUCCACUUGGAGUAUGCCUAGCAGCUGUCACCAACCGGCUGAUGGCCCGGGUUUCCUGUGCUUGUGAACCCUCUGGAAGCAUUACAGGACUCUGUGAUGAAGCCUUGAAAUUUUGUAUUUCAAGAUGGCAUCGGGGAAGCCUUUGGCAGUGGCCAAGGAGGCAGACCCUACAAUGACGGUGGCAGCCUCUGAGCAUGGCCAAAGUGUGCAGCCCGAGCAACUGGGCAUUCUUAGGAGAAUGCUGAGCAAGGGAACACAGCCCCGUGACCACAGGACCUUCCCAGCAGGCGAGGCAGCCUUCUCAACCCCAGAUGCUGGAGAGAUAAGUCAAGGGCUAAGGCCCACAGAGGGGAAUCAGCUUUGUGGGCGGGGAUGUGCAAGAAGUGCCCCUCUAGGCCACUUAAAGGGAAAGUGUCUGUUUAGAUCACAGUGCUGAGGUGCACAGGGCAGAGCAGUUCCGGUGUGUGUCCCGUCACUUGUCUCUGGUGCGUUCUGUGUUCUUUGGGUCUCUCGGUCCUUGCAGACGUUGUUCUCAUCUAAAGCUCUCUCUCCCUCUCCUGUCCCCUGGUUUGUCACGUCCUGUGUGUUGUCACGGGUGUGUGCCCACAUUUGUCCCACAACUGCUCUGCCCUGGUGCAUAGCUUGUAACAGCACAAGUUCUGGGGACUUGAAAUUUGUAUUGGGAGAUUGCCAUAACAUUUUUGGUGCUGUUAAGUUGUCCUGCAGCCGUUUGACACUAGUUCUAACUUCCUUUCAGAUGCAGACAGUUCAAAUCGGUGGCAGAGGGCACCAGCCCUGGGUGAUGAUCUUCCCAUGAGCAGGAGGUCCAGACAGAUAGCAGCAGUCAAGGCCCAGGGUGCCAGGGAAUCCACUUGGAGUAUGCCUAGCAGCUGUCACCAACCGGCUGAUGGCCCGGGUUUCCUGUGCUUGUGAACCCUCUGGAAGCAUUACAGGACUCUGUGAUGAAGCCUUGAAAUUUUGUAUUUCAAGAUGGCAUCGGGGUAGCCUUUGGCAGUGGCCAAGGAGGCAGACCCUACAAUGACGGUGGCAGCCUCUGAGCAUGGCCAAAGUGUGCAGCCCGAGCAACUGGGCAUUCUUAGGAGAAUGCUGAGCAAGGGAACACAGCCCCGUGACCACAGGACCUUCCCAGCAGGCGAGGCAGCCUUCUCAACCCCAGAUGCUGGAGAGAUAAGUCAAGGGCUAAGGCCCACAGAGGGGAAUCAGCUUUGUGGGCGGGGAUGUGCAAGAAGUGCCCCUCUAGGCCACUUAAAGGGAAAGUGUCUGUUUAGAUCACAGUGCUGAGGUGCACAGGGCAGAGCAGUUCCGGUGUGUGUCCCGUCACUUGUCUCUGGUGCGUUCUGUGUUCUUUGGGUCUCUCGGUCCUUGCAGACGUUGUUCUCAUCUAAAGCUCUCUCUCCCUCUCCUGUCCCCUGGUUUGUCACGUCCUGUGUGUUGUCACGGGUGUGUGCCCACAUUUGUCCCACAACUGCUCUGCCCUGGUGCAUAGCUUGUAACAGCACAAGUUCUGGGGACUUGAAAUUUGUAUUGGGAGAUUGCCAUAACAUUUUUGGUGCUGUUAAGUUGUCCUGCAGCCGUUUGACACUAGUUCUAACUUCCUUUCAGAUGCAGACAGUUCAAAUCGGUGGCAGAGGGCACCAGCCCUGGGUGAUGAUCUUCCCAUGAGCAGGAGGUCCAGACAGAUAGCAGCAGUCAAGGCCCAGGGUGCCAGGGAAUCCACUUGGAGUAUGCCUAGCAGCUGUCACCAACCGGCUGAUGGCCCGGGUUUCCUGUGCUUGUGAACCCUCUGGAAGCAUUACAGGACUCUGUGAUGAAGCCUUGAAAUUUUGUAUUUCAAGAUGGCAUCGGGGUAGCCUUUGGCAGUGGCCAAGGAGGCAGACCCUACAAUGACGGUGGCAGCCUCUGAGCAUGGCCAAAGUGUGCAGCCCGAGCAACUGGGCAUUCUUAGGAGAAUGCUGAGCAAGGGAACACAGCCCCGUGACCACAGGACCUUCCCAGCAGGCGAGGCAGCCUUCUCAACCCCAGAUGCUGGAGAGAUAAGUCAAGGGCUAAGGCCCACAGAGGGGAAUCAGCUUUGUGGGCGGGGAUGUGCAAGAAGUGCCCCUCUAGGCCACUUAAAGGGAAAGUGUCUGUUUAGAUCACAGUGCUGAGGUGCACAGGGCAGAGCAGUUCCGGUGUGUGUCCCGUCACUUGUCUCUGGUGCGUUCUGUGUUCUUUGGGUCUCUCGGUCCUUGCAGACGUUGUUCUCAUCUAAAGCUCUCUCUCCCUCUCCUGUCCCCUGGUUUGUCACGUCCUGUGUGUUGUCACGGGUGUGUGCCCACAUUUGUCCCACAACUGCUCUGCCCUGGUGCAUAGCUUGUAACAGCACAAGUUCUGGGGACUUGAAAUUUGUAUUGGGAGAUUGCCAUAACAUUUUUGGUGCUGUUAAGUUGUCCUGCAGCCGUUUGACACUAGUUCUAACUUCCUUUCAGAUGCAGACAGUUCAAAUCGGUGGCAGAGGGCACCAGCCCUGGGUGAUGAUCUUCCCAUGAGCAGGAGGUCCAGACAGAUAGCAGCAGUCAAGGCCCAGGGUGCCAGGGAAUCCACUUGGAGUAUGCCUAGCAGCUGUCACCAACCGGCUGAUGGCCCGGGUUUCCUGUGCUUGUGAACCCUCUGGAAGCAUUACAGGACUCUGUGAUGAAGCCUUGAAAUUUUGUAUUUCAAGAUGGCAUCGGGGAAGCCUUUGGCAGUGGCCAAGGAGGCAGACCCUACAAUGACGGUGGCAGCCUCUGAGCAUGGCCAAAGUGUGCAGCCCGAGCAACUGGGCAUUCUUAGGAGAAUGCUGAGCAAGGGAACACAGCCCCGUGACCACAGGACCUUCCCAGCAGGCGAGGCAGCCUUCUCAACCCCAGAUGCUGGAGAGAUAAGUCAAGGGCUAAGGCCCACAGAGGGGAAUCAGCUUUGUGGGCGGGGAUGUGCAAGAAGUGCCCCUCUAGGCCACUUAAAGGGAAAGUGUCUGUUUAGAUCACAGUGCUGAGGUGCACAGGGCAGAGCAGUUCCGGUGUGUGUCCCGUCACUUGUCUCUGGUGCGUUCUGUGUUCUUUGGGUCUCUCGGUCCUUGCAGACGUUGUUCUCAUCUAAAGCUCUCUCUCCCUCUCCUGUCCCCUGGUUUGUCACGUCCUGUCUGUUGUCACGGGUGUGUGCCCACAUUUGUCCCACAACUGCUCUGCCCUGGUGCAUAGCUUGUAACAGCACAAGUUCUGGGGACUUGAAAUUUGUAUUGGGAGAUUGCCAUAACAUUUUUGGUGCUGUUAAGUUGUCCUGCAGCCGUUUGACACUAGUUCUAACUUCCUUUCAGAUGCAGACAGUUCAAAUCGGUGGCAGAGGGCACCAGCCCUGGGUGAUGAUCUUCCCAUGAGCAGGAGGUCCAGACAGAUAGCAGCAGUCAAGGCCCAGGGUGCCAGGGAAUCCACUUGGAGUAUGCCUAGCAGCUGUCACCAACCGGCUGAUGGCCCGGGUUUCCUGUGCUUGUGAACCCUCUGGAAGCAUUACAGGACUCUGUGAUGAAGCCUUGAAAUUUUGUAUUUCAAGAUGGCAUCGGGGUAGCCUUUGGCAGUGGCCAAGGAGGCAGACCCUACAAUGACGGUGGCAGCCUCUGAGCAUGGCCAAAGUGUGCAGCCCGAGCAACUGGGCAUUCUUAGGAGAAUGCUGAGCAAGGGAACACAGCCCCGUGACCACAGGACCUUCCCAGCAGGCGAGGCAGCCUUCUCAACCCCAGAUGCUGGAGAGAUAAGUCAAGGGCUAAGGCCCACAGAGGGGAAUCAGCUUUGUGGGCGGGGAUGUGCAAGAAGUGCCCCUCUAGGCCACUUAAAGGGAAAGUGUCUGUUUAGAUCACAGUGCUGAGGUGCACAGGGCAGAGCAGUUCCGGUGUGUGUCCCGUCACUUGUCUCUGGUGCGUUCUGUGUUCUUUGGGUCUCUCGGUCCUUGCAGACAUUGUUCUCAUCUAAAGCUCUCUCUCCCUCUCCUGUCCCCUGGUUUGUCACGUCCUGUGUGUUGUCACGGGUGUGUGCCCACAUUUGUCCCACAACUGCUCUGCCCUGGUGCAUAGCUUGUAACAGCACAAGUUCUGGGGACUUGAAAUUUGUAUUGGGAGAUUGCCAUAACAUUUUUGGUGCUGUUAAGUUGUCCUGCAGCCGUUUGACACUAGUUCUAACUUCCUUUCAGAUGCAGACAGUUCAAAUCGGUGGCAGAGGGCACCAGCCCUGGGUGAUGAUCUUCCCAUGAGCAGGAGGUCCAGACAGAUAGCAGCAGUCAAGGCCCAGGGUGCCAGGGUCCCACCCUGGUAGCCCAGAGGAAUGGACAAGGAAUUGCGGUGAGUCGGGGAGGUAGGGAGGAGGAGCGUGGGUACACUCAAGUUUCAGCAAUGCCACGUCACCCCCUCUCCACGUAACCUCUCUGUACCCGGAGAUGAUGCUGUCGGCCUCCAAGCACACCUGAGGGGUAUGACCUGGGCAUUCUGAGGAGGAUGGUGAAUAGCAGAAUUAUCAGGUUUUGGCCGAUGUGUUGUUAAGACUGUGCACUGAUGUUUGGUUUUCUUUCUCUGGGCAGACCAAGAGGUGACAGCUGGAACUUACCGGACAGGCAGACAGCCUUCUUCUGCAGCCAACAGGGAUUUGCAUCCCAGAUGCAUGCAAGAUAAGUGGAGGGUUAUGACCCACAGAGAGAUUGGAUGAGGGGUGCCAGGUUGGGACUUUCUAGAUGAGGUUUUUGUGUCUGUUUUAGAGAUGGGGAUGUCCAAGAAGCAUCCCCUUAGGUCACCUAAAGGGAAAGUGUCUGUUUUGAUCUCUGUGCUGAAGUGCACAGGGCAGAGCAGUUCUGGUGUGUGUCCUGUCACUUGUCUCUGGUGCACUCUGUGUUCUUUGGGUCUCUUGGUCCUUUCUUCUCAUCUAAAGCUCUCUCUCCCUCUCCUGUCCCCUCGUCUGUCACGUCCUGUCCCGUGUCACGGGUGUCUGCACAUAUUCAUCCCGGAGCUGCUCUGCCCUGCUGCGUAGCCUGUAACAGCACAAGUCCUGGGGACUUGAAAUUUGUAAAUGCGGGGUGUAGUUGGGCUCUAGACUGGAUUAAGAGAUUGCCAUAACAUGUUUGGUACUGUUAAGUUUUCCUGCGGUCUUUUGACACUAGUUCUAACUUCCUUUCAGAUGCAGACAGUUCAAAUCGGUGGCAGAGGGCACCAGUCCUGGGAAGCCCAGGCAGAUAGCAGCAGUCAAGGCCCAGUGUGCCAGGGAAUCCACUGCGAGUAUGCCAAGCCCCUGUCACCAGCUGGCCGAUGGACCGGGUUUCCUGCACUUAUGAGCCCUCUGGAAGUAUUACAGGACCCUGUGAUGAAGCCUACCGGUUUUGUAUUUCAAGGUCCCCUCCUAGUAGCCCAGAGGAAUGGCUGAGGAGUUGCGGUGUACCCUGUGUUGAAGGUGUCGGCCUCCAAGCACGCCUGAGGUGCGUGGCCCGAGCAUUCUUAGGAAACGACCAAGAGAGAAGAGCCUGGUGACAACUGGAAUUUCCCAGACCGGCAGGAGGCCUCCUUCUGCACCUGAUGAGGAUUUGCAUCCCCAGAUAUGUGCAAGAUAAGUCAAGGGUUACGACCCACAGAGGGGAUGGAAGAGAGGUGCCAGGUUAGGACUCCGCAGGAGGGGUUUUUGUGUCUGUUUUAGAGAUGGGGAUGUCCAAGAAGCAUCCCCUUAGGCCACCUAUAGCGCAAGUGUCUGUUUUGAUCUCUGUGCUGAGGUGCACAGGGAAGAGCAGUUCCGGUUUGUGUCCUGUCACUUGUCUCUGGUGCACCCUGUGUUCUUUGGGUCUCUCGGUCCUUUCUUCUCAUCUAAAGCUCUCUCUCCCUCUCCUGUCCCCUCGUUUGUCACGUCCUGUCCCGUGUCACGGGUGUCUGCACAUAUUCAUCCCGGAGCUGCUCUGCCCUGCUGCAUAGCCUGUAACAGCACAAGUCCUGGGGACUUGAAAUUUGUAAUGCAGGGUGUAGUUGGGCUCUAGACUGGAUUAAGAGAUUGCCAUAACAUGUUUGGUACUGUUAAGUUUUCCUGCAGCUGGUUGACACUAGUUCUAACUUCCUUUCAGAUGCCGACAGUUCAAAUCUGUGGCAGUGGGCUCCAGUCCUGGCUGAGGAACUUCCAAUGAGCAGGAGGUCCAGGCAGAUAGCAGCUGUCAAGGCCAAGUCUGCCAGGGAAUCCACUGGCAGUAUGCCGAGCCCUUGUCACCAGCUGGCUGAUGGACCAGGUUUCCUGCACUUAUGAGCCCUCUGGAAGUAUUACAGGACCCUGUGAUGAAGCCUACCGGUUUUGUAUUUCAAGGUCUUCUCCUGGUAGCCCAGAGGACUGGCCGAGGAGUUGCACUAUACCCUGCAAUGACGGCGUCAGAAUCCAAGCAGACCUGAAGUGUCCAGGCCAUGUACAUGUCCAUUUUGAUGAGAAUGACCAAGAGGUGUCACGAUCCGCUUAUAGCGGGGUGUCGUGAUGGUUCGUUAGCCGAUCCCAAAGUGCAAAAGACAAACAGCAGGGGACUAUCAGUUUAAUCACAACAGAUGCACCUUUAUUAAGGGCCAAAA